rnacentral:rRNA from 1 species
UACGGAGGGGACUAGCGUUGUUCGGAAUUACUGGGCGUAAAGCGCACGUAGGCGGAUUUGUAAGUCAGGGGUGAAAUCCCGGGGCUCAACCUCGGAACUGCCUUUGAUACUGCAAAUCUCGAGUCCGGAAGAGGUGAGUGGAAUUCCCGGUGUAGCGGUGAAAUGCGCAGAUAUCGGGAGGAACACCAAUGGCGAAGGCAGCUCGCUGGGACGGUACUGACGCUGAGACGCGAAAGCGUGGGGAGCAAACAGG